AGAGAAUGAAGUAUUAAAUUAUAACAAUAAAAAAAUUCCUUUGUAAGUCAUUAAAAAAGAAUCAAUUCCGUAAUAAAAUCCUUCCCUUAGAUAGAUUCGACUUUGCAGAUUUUUUUUUUCUCGUGGAGUGAAUCGAUAGAAAUUUGCAACAAUAGAAGCACAAAAACAUUGUCUGGAAACCAUGGUAAGGGGAGAAGCUUUAUUUGUUUUGUCUAUGCCCCACUAGGGUUAUCUUGCCCCCGAAAAACCGCUGUUUGAUGAUCCCUGCUGGAUGCCCCUUUGUCCUGCCACUUGGAGUGCUAAAUGCCCAAAGACCUCAUGCUGUAACACUGUCCAUAAAUCUCAAUACUAUUUUCUUGCCUUGUGCUCUUGAUUCCUACUAUUACGUGAGCCUCAUACUUAUAAGUGCUAACUACGUGAUCUGUGAUGUAACAGGAUGUAAAGUCUCGCGCUUCGUCUUCUCUGACGAUUCGUUUAGGAACCGGAAAUUACCCCCUCCCAAAAAAAAGGGGGGAGGUGAGGAAAAAAAAAACUGUGGA